rnacentral:rRNA from 1 species
UACGGGGGGGGGCAAGCGUUGUUCGGAAUUACUGGGCGUAAAGGGCGUGUAGGUGGCCAACUAAGUCCGACGUGAAAUCCCCAGGCUUAACCUGGGAACUGCGUCGGAUACUGGAUGGCUUGAAUUCGGGAGAGGGAUGCAGAAUUCCAGGUGUAGCGGUGAAAAUGCGUAGAUAUCUGGAGGAAUACCGGUGGCGAAGGCGGCAUCCUGGACCGAGAUGACAUCUAAAGCGCAGAAAGCCAAG